AUUUUGGCGACUACUUUCACCGGUUUUAGAUUUUCCUUUACCGAACAUAUUUUUCAACGAAAAUGCCAUAAUAAUUAUAAUUAAGCAAAAUAAUAACACACAAAAAUAUUCUUAGCACGUAAGAGUUGAAACGAGUUUACCGGAUUGACAGACAACUUCUUGAAAAUUGAAAAUCGUUGAAAUUAAACACUUGAAAACUUCAAUUCAA
rnacentral:lncRNA from 1 species